rnacentral:rRNA from 1 species
AGGACGAACGCUGGCGGCGUGCUUAACACAUGCAAGUCGAGCGGAAAGGCCCUUCGGGGUACUCGAGCGGCGAACGGGUGAGUAACACGUGAGUAAUCUGCCCCUAGCUCUGGGGAUAGCUCCGGGAAACCGGGAUUAAUACCGGAUAUGACCACUUUAGACAUCUGUUGUGGUGGAAAGAAUUUCGGCUAGGGAUGAGCUCGCGGCCUAUCAGCUUGUUGGUGGGUAACGGCCUACCAAGGCGACGACGGGUA